CGGGGUGAGUAACGCGUGGGUAACCUACCCUGUACACACAGAUAACAUACCGAAAGGUAUGCUAAUACGGGAUAAUAUAUCUGAGAGGCAUCUCUUGAAUAUCAAAGGUGAGCCAGUACAGGAUGGACCCGCGUCUGAUUAGCUAGUUGGUAAGGUAACGGCUUACCAAGGCGACGAUCAGUAGCCGACCUGAGAGGGUGAUCGGCCACAUUGGAACUGAGACACGGUCCAA
rnacentral:rRNA from 1 species